GACGAACGCUGGCGGCGUGCUUAACACAUGCAAGUCGAACGGAAAGGCCUGCUUUCCCUUGUGGAUUGCGGGUACUCGAGUGGCGAACGGGUGAGUAACACGUGAGUGAUCUGCCCCCAACUUGGGUAUAAGCCUGGGAAACUGGGUCUAAUUCCCGAUAGGACUGCAGGGUGGUGCCUGUGGUGGAAAACGAUUUUCUAGUGGUUGGGGAUGAGCUCGCGGCCUAUCAGCUUGUUGGUGGGGUAAUGGCCUACCAAGGCGGCGACGGGUAGCCGGCCUGAGAGGGUGGACGGCCACAUUGGGACUGAGAUACGGCCCAGACUCCUACGGGAGGCAGCAGUGGGGAAUAUUGCACAAUGGGCGGAAGCCUGAUGCAGCGACGCCGCGUGGGGGAUGUCGGCCUUCGGGUUGUAAACUCCUUUCGACCGCGAGGAAGCCACCUGGUUGGAAGGGUGGUGACGGUAGUGGUAGAAGAAGCACCGGCUAACUACGUG
rnacentral:rRNA from 1 species